AGUGAACGCUGGCGGUAGGCCUAACACAUGCAAGUCGAACGGCAGCACAGUAAGAGCUUGCUCUUACGGGUGGCGAGUGGCGGACGGGUGAGGAAUACAUCGGAAUCUACUUUUUCGUGGGGGAUAACGUAGGGAAACUUACGCUAAUACCGCAUACGACCUACGGGUGAAAGCAGGGGAUCUUCGGACCUUGCGCGAUUGAAUGAGCCGAUGUCGGAUUAGCUAGUUGGCGGGGUAAAGGCCCACCAAGGCGACGAUCCGUAGCUGGUCUAAGAGGAUGAUAGGCCACCUGGGAACUGAGAAAGGUUCCGACCUCCAACGGGAGCCAGCGGGGGGAAUAUUGGACAAUGGGCGCAAGCCUGAUCCAGCCAUACCGCGUGGGUGAAGAAGGCCUUCGGGUUGUAAAGCCCUUUUGUUGGGAAAGAAAAGCAGCAGGUUAAUACCCCGCUGUUCUGACGGUACCCAAAGAAUAAGCACCGGCUAACUUCGUG
rnacentral:rRNA from 1 species